GUGCCAGCCGCCGCGGUAAUACGUAGGAGACGAGCGUUGUCCGGAAUUACUGGGCGUAAAGCGCGUGUAGGCGGACCGGCAAGUCUGCUGUGAAAGCUCCUGGCUUAACCGGGAGUGGUCGGUGGAAACUGCCAGUCUGGAGGACGGUAGAGGUAGGUAGAAUUCCCGGUGUAGUGGUGAAAUGCGUAGAGAUCGGGAGGAAUACCUGUGGCGAAGGCGGCCUACUGGGCCGGACCUGACGCUGAGACGCGAAGGCGUGGGGAGCGAACGGGAUUAGAAACCCGUGUAGUCC
rnacentral:rRNA from 1 species